rnacentral:rRNA from 1 species
GAACGCUAGCGGCAGGCUUAACACAUGCAAGUCGAGGGGUAGAAGCAGCUUGCUGCUUUGAGACCGGCGCACGGGUGCGUAACGCGUAUGCAAUCUACCUUUUACAGAGGGAUAGCCCAGAGAAAUUUGGAUUAAUGCCCCAUAGUAUAGUUUUUUCGCAUGAAGAGAUUAUUAAAGUACCAACGGUAAAAGAUGAGCAUGCGUCCCAUUAGCUAGAUGGUAAGGUAACGGCUUACCAUGGCGACGAUGGGUAGGGGUCCUGAGAGGGAGAUCCCCACACUGGUACUGAGACACGGACCAGACUCCUACGGGAGGCAGCAGUGAGGAAUAUUGGUCAAUGGACGCAAGUCUGAACCAGCCAUGCCGCGUGCAGGAUGACGGUCCUAUGGAUUGUAAACUGCUUUUGUACGAGAAGAAACACUCCUACGUGUAGGAGCUUGACGGUAUCGUAAGAAUAAGGAUCGGCUAACUCCGUG